UGUAUUCACUACUGUAAGUUGCUCUGGAUAAGAGCGUCUGCUAAAUGACUUAAU
rfam:Salmo salar isolate Sally breed double haploid chromosome ssa12, whole genome shotgun sequence.